GCAGAAAUGCAUGUUCUCUUCGGAGCACUGGAGACAGGUGGUGCAUGGUUGUCGUCAGCUCGUGUCGCGAGAUGUUGGGUUAAGUCCCGCAACGAGCGCAACCCUUAUCCUUAGUAGCCAGCAGGGAAAGCUGGGCACUCUAGGGAGACUGCCAGGGAUCACCUGGAGGAAGGUGGGGAUGACGUCAAAUCAUCAUGCCCCUUAUGAUUUGGGCUACACACGUGCUACAAUGGCGUAAACAAAGGGAAGCGAAGUGGCGACAUGGAGCGAACCCCAAAAAUAACGUCUCAGUUCGGAUUGCAGGCUGCAACCCGCCUGCAUGAAGCCGGAAUCGCUAGUAAUCGCAGAUCAGAAUGCUGCGGUGAAUACGUUCCCGGGUCUUGUACACACCGCCCGUCACACCAUGGGAGUCGAUAACGCCCGAAGUCAGUGACCCAACCGAAAGGAGGGAGCUGCCGAAGGCGGGAUGGAUAACUGGGGUGAAGUCGUAACAAGGUAGCCGUAUC
rnacentral:rRNA from 1 species